GUGAAUCAAAGGUCCAACUAUGACGGCUUUUGGCACCGUCCCGCACGCUGCCCCCACUCCGUUUACAUUCUGGUUUAACCCCGAGAGCCAGGGACCGACCUGACAGCAGGUGCCACGCGCGUGAGCAGCCCUCCCAGCCUGACGUCCCGCCGUUGGGCUCCGCGGCCCCUGCUGCAAACGUGGGUUCCAGGGCGCGCUGUGUGGUCCCGGCCGAGGCUCCCUGGUCCGCGUGGGGACGGAGGGAACCCUGCAGACGGGCAGAGAAACCCAGCCACCCACGGAAGGGGCACCCGACCCAGGGGGCUGGGCCGUGGGUCGGGGCCCUUGUCUUGGCAGCACCCACAGGAGGCCUUCUGACCUCCAGCCCGGCCGAGGCUCCCUGGUCCGCGUGGGGACGGAGGGAACCCUGCAGACGGGCAGAGAAACCCAGCCACCCACGGAAGGGGCACCCGACCCAGGGGGCUGGGCCGUGGGUCGGGGCCCUUGUCUUGGCAGCACCCACAGGAGGCCUUCUGACCUCCAGCCCGGCAGCCUCUGCCCUCGGCCCUGCUGCACCAGCUCCGUGUCAGGCCGGGGCCCCACAGCCCCCGUGUAGGGGCUGGGGCGUGAGGCGGCUGUAGGCCAGGAAGCUUUGCCCGGAGCCGAGCCUGUCACCGGGCCGGCACUGGGCAGACGCUUCCCUGCCCUCACGCGGUCCCUGAGAGGCCUCCUGACCUCCCUGCCAGCCUCGGGCCUCCCCCCAGGGUGACAUGGGAUGGGGAGCCGUGGAGAAGGUGCGGGGAGCACCCAGGCAACCCAGUGGGUGUGUGUGAUGCCCACUCCCGGCCCGAGUGCCAGCUGCCUGCCCUGCUGGGCCUGGCUGUCCCUGGCCUCUCCUCCCGGGGUUGGAGGGGGACUGAGAGCUGUCCGUGGGGUCCUCAGGUCAUCCUGGGGCCUGGACUGAGCCAGGCAGCUGGCGCGUGCCUGCCAGUGGUGGCUCUCCCGAGGGGCCACGUUUCUGUGGAAAAGGGGAGCGUGGCCCCGGGCACAGCUGUCCUGCCAGGAGGAGCAGAGAGCCGGCCCUGGAGGCGCGUGGCCUGUGGGCUGCACCCUGGCCGGGCCUCCCCUGGGGCAGAGCCCCGCGGCCUUUCUUGAAUUUCACCUUGGUGCACGCCCCCGGCUUCC
rnacentral:lncRNA from 1 species